rnacentral:rRNA from 1 species
CCUACGGGAGGCAGCAGUGGGGAAUAUUGGACAAUGGGGGCAACCCUGAUCCAGCAAUGCCGCGUGAGUGAUGAAGGCCUUAGGGUUGUAAAGCUCUUUUACCAGGGAUGAUAAUGACAGUACCUGGAGAAUAAGCUCCGGCUAACUCCGUGCCAGCAGCCGCGGUAAUACGGAGGGAGCUAGCGUUGUUCGGAAUUACUGGGCGUAAAGCGCACGUAGGCGGUUACUCAAGUCAGAGGUGAAAGCCCGGGGCUCAACCCCGGAACUGCCUUUGAAACUAGGUAACUAGAAUCCUGGAGAGGUGAGUGGAAUUCCGAGUGUAGAGGUGAAAUUCGUAGAUAUUCGGAAGAACACCAGUGGCGAAGGCGGCUCACUGGACAGGUAUUGACGCUGAGGUGUGAAAGCGUGGGGAGCAAACAGGAUUAGAUACCCUGGUAGUCCACGCCGUAAACGAUGAUAACUAGCUGUCCGGGCACAUGGUGUUUGGGUGGCGCAGCUAACGCAUUAAGUUAUCCGCCUGGGGAGUACGGUCGCAAGAUUAAAACUCAAAGAUAUGACGUGNGAGNGCGACGACGACGACGACGGAGGAGGAG